rnacentral:tRNA from 1 species
GGCAGCAUAAUGGUUAUGCAAAAGAUUUUAAAUCCUGUGGCUCUGUGGUCCCAGGUUCAAUUCCUGGUACCA